AGCGAACGCUGGCGGCAGGCCUAACACAUGCAAGUCGAACGAACCUUUCGGGGUUAGUGGCGGACGGGUGAGUAACACGUGGGAACGUGCCUUUAGGUUCGGAAUAACUCAGGGAAACUUGUGCUAAUACCGAAUGUGCCCUUCGGGGGAAAGAUUUAUCGCCUUUAGAGCGGCCCGCGUCUGAUUAGCUAGUUGGUUGAGGUAAUGGCUCACCAAGGCGACGAUCAGUAGCUGGUCUGAGAGGAUGAUAAGCCACAUUGGAACUGAGACACGGCCCAAACUCCUACGGGAGGCAGGAGUGGGGAAUCUUGCGCAAUGGGCGAAAGCCUGACGCAGCCAUGCCGCGUGAAUGAUGAAGGUCUUAGGAUUGUAAAAUUCUUUCACCGGGGACGAUAAUGACGGUACCCGGAGAAGAAGCCCCGGCUAACUUCGUG
rnacentral:rRNA from 1 species